rnacentral:rRNA from 1 species
CAUAGGUUAAUGAGGCGAACCGGGGGAACUGAAACAUCUAAGUACCCCGAGGAAAAGAAAUCAACCGAGAUUCCCCCAGUAGCGGCGAGCGAACGGGGAGGAGCCCAGAGCCUGAAUCAGUGUGUGUGUUAGUGGAAGCGUCUGGAAAGGCGCGCGAUACAGGGUGACAGCCCCGUACACAAAAAUGCACAUGCUGUGAGCUCGAUGAGUAGGGCGGGACACGUGGUAUCCUGUCUGAAUAUGGGGGGACCAUCCUCCAAGGCUAAAUACUCCUGACUGACCGAUAGUGAACCAGUACCGUGAGGGAAAGGCGAAAAGAACCCCGGCGAGGGGAGUGAAAAAGAACCUGAAACCGUGUACGUACAAGCAGUGGGAGCACGCUUAGGCGUGUGACUGCGUACCUUUUGUAUAAUGGGUCAGCGACUUAUAUUCUGUAGCAAGGUUAACCGAAUAGGGGAGCCGAAGGGAAACCGAGUCUUAACUGGGCGUUAAGUUGCAGGGUAUAGACCCGAAACCCGGUGAUCUAGCCAUGGGCAGGUUGAAGGUUGGGUAACACUAACUGGAGGACCGAACCGACUAAUGUUGAAAAAUUAGCGGAUGACUUGUGGCUGGGGGUGAAAGGCCAAUCAAACCGGGAGAUAGCUGGUUCUCCCCGAAAGCUAUUUAGGUAGCGCCUCGUGAAUUCAUCUCCGGGGGUAGAGCACUGUUUCGGCAAGGGGGUCAUCCCGACUUACCAACCCGAUGCAAACUGCGAAUACCGGAGAAUGUUAUCACGGGAGACACACGGCGGGUGCUAACGUCCGUCGUGAAGAGGGAAACAACCCAGACCGCCAGCUAAGGUCCCAAAGUCAUGGUUAAGUGGGAAACGAUGUGGGAAGGCCCAGACAGCCAGGAUGUUGGCUUAGAAGCAGCCAUCAUUUAAAGAAAGCGUAAUAGCUCACUGGUCGAGUCGGCCUGCGCGGAAGAUGUAACGGGGCUAAACCAUGCAC